rnacentral:rRNA from 2 species
UGGGGAAUAUUGGGCAAUGGGGGAAACCCUGACCCAGCAACGCCGCGUGAGGGAAGAAGGUUUUCGGAUUGUAAACCUCUGUCCUUGGUGAAGAAAGAGAUGACGGUAGCCAAGGAGGAAGCCCCGGCUAACUACGUGCCAGCAGCCGCGGUAAUACGUAGGUGGCAAGCGUUGUCCGGAAUUACUGGGCGUAAAGGGUGCGUAGGCGGCAAAGCAAGUCAGAUGUGAAAUCCCCGGGCUUAACUCGGGGGGUGCAUUUGAAACUGCAUUGCUUGAGUGCAGGAGAGGAAAGCGGAAUUCCUAGUGUAGCGGUGAAAUGCGUAGAUAUUAGGAAGAACACCAGUGGCGAAGGCGGCUUUCUGGACUGCAACUGACGCUGAGGCACGAAAGUGUGGGGAGCAAACAGG